GCCGCACUGCUUGUGGGAGUGGAAAUUGGGGGCCAGAGCUCACUGGUGACGUGGUCGUCACGUGACCAAGAGCUGCCUAGAGCAGAAGUCCUGCUAGUCGCCUCCGUCUGGGUACCAGCCCCCUAUUACUCUGCAGGCGUGCGAAGGAAGAAGGAAACUAGCCCCGGACCGCGAGGUUUGUAGGUCUGUUGGCCUAUACGUCGCCUCAAAAGUCGUGCCGAGGGAAGGAGCGAACUGCCUUGGGACCGUGCAGGUCCGUGUGAAGUUCUCCAAAGCCAGCUAUCUGUGUUUCCGACCUUCUGCCAGACUGUCCAUCAAUCUCCCUGGAAGGAGCACUGACAACAGAAGACGAGGGAAGAAGAAGAAAUUUACCUGAUUUUGAUUCAUCACAAGCUACAGGAGCCCAGGAGAGGCUGAAGAGGACUACGCCCCACCAUUCCUCACCCUGGCCCUGAGAAGCCUCCUCAGUCAGGUGGAACAAGGCCCUCUCCUGUCCUGUCCCA
rnacentral:lncRNA from 1 species